UAACAACAUUAUUGACUAAGACUAUAUACUAUAUUUACAAAAUAACAGGUCAAAUAAUUAGAUACUCUAAUUAUUCCUGAAUUUUCACCUUCUCCAUUGAAGUGGUUGCCCUAGCUUUCUUACUCCAUUGAAGCAACACCUCCGCCUUCUCACUCCAUUGAAGCAGUAUCUCCGCCUCCAUUGAAUCGUGCUCUAUUCUCCAUUGAAGACGAAUCUGAGCUUUCUCACCUCCAUUGAAGCUGCUCCUGACAAGACUUGAAGGAAUAUCUGCUAGUAAGGCAGGACAGUUUGCUGUGGUGGUAGAGGUCUAUGAAGUUGCUCCCUCACUUUUUAUGGUUGAUGUUCGGAGAGCCGCUGGUGACACCCUUGAAUACCACAAGGUCAAUUAGCUUUAAGCUGUUCUUGUUAUCUCGCUUGUUUUUAACUUUUCUGAACCGUCUGCGAUAAGAUAAUGCUAUAAGGGGAUGGCUGUUACGUUAGGGAAAGUUGGAAAUGUGUGUACACUGCAUUUAUGCCUUGUGAUUGGUUACUACGUUGAGGAAAGUUGAGAAUGUGUGUAUAUAUAGUGCAUGUUUACAUUGUGAUUGGUUGUUUAACAUGGCAAUUUAUGAGCACAUACACCACUUCAUGCAAUCUGAUUUCCCCUAAUAGAAAAAUAAUAUGUAUUUGAUUGCUUCUUCUCUCCUAAAAUUACCAUUUUCUUUACUUCGUUCCCCCAUAUAAAAGAUAGGAAAUGAAUGAAAGGGGAGUAAUAAUUUCAAAAGUAAUAGAGGGGAGGUAUUGAGAUUUAUGUUUAUACAAUUUUCAAAUUUUAAUUUUAAUUUUUAUUUUUAAAAGUGGUUAUCCAAGAAAGAAACAAGUUUGCCUUUUCAAUUUCUUUCAAAUUCUGACGUUCUGUGCAUAGGUUCAAAAUGAAAUUAUCAGUUGCAUAUAUAAUUAUAUCAAUAUGGCUUCUACAAGUCUCGUAAGAGUUAAUCAGCUUGGACCUGCAAACUCCAAGAGAAGCUUCAGAUGCUGCUGUCCUCUGUUCAGCUGCUAGUAUUAGGAACACGAUUUACACCUAUCUUUUGGCUGCUGCUGUCCUCUGUUCAGCUGCUAGUGUGGAGCUGGUCUUUGAUAUUUUCGUUCCUUGCUUUGAUUUUUUUUUGGACGAAAAUUGUAAUAUUACAGCCUUUUUUAAUGAAAAUAUGUAACUUUAUAUA